CAAAGGUGUAGCUUAACNUAAAGCACCCGGCCUACACCCGGAAGAUUUCACUCAACUGACCACUUUGA
rnacentral:tRNA from 1 species